rnacentral:rRNA from 1 species
UACGUAGGGUCCGAGCGUUGUCCGGAAUUACUGGGCGUAAAGAGCUCGUAGGUGGUUUGUCGCGUUGUUUCGUGAAAACUCACAGCUUAACUGUGGGCGUGCGGGCGAUACGGGCAGACUGGAGUACUGCAGGGGAGACUGGAAUUCCUGGUGUAGCGGUGGAAUGCGCAGAUAUCAGGAGGAACACCGGUGGCGAAGGCGGGUCUCUGGGCAGUAACUGACGCUGAGGAGCGAAAGCGUGGGGGAGCGAACAGG